CAGUCGCCGCGGGAAUACGAAGGGGGCUAGCGUUGUUCGGAUUUACUGGGCGUAAAGCGCACGUAGGCGGACUUUUAAGUCAGGGGUGAAAUCCCGGGGCUCAACCCCGGAACUGCCUUUGAUACUGGAAGUCUUGAGUAUGGUAGAGGUGAGUGGAAUUCCGAGUGUAGAGGUGAAAUUCGUAGAUAUUCGGAGGAACACCAGUGGCGAAGGCGGCUCACUGGACCAUUACUGACGCUGAGGUGCGAAAGCGUGGGGAGCAAACAGGAUUAGAUACCCCAGAGUCCCUGUCUCUUAUACC
rnacentral:rRNA from 1 species